GAUGAAGAACGUAGCGAAAUGCGAUAAGUAAUGUGAAUUGCAGAAUUCAGUGAAUCAUCGAAUCUUUGAACGCACAUUGCGCCCGCCAGUAUUCUGGCGGGCAUGCCUGUUCGAGCGUCAUUUCAACCAUCAAGCCCCCGGCUUGUGUUGGGGACCUGCGGCUGCCGCAGGCCCCGAAAAGCAGUGGCGGGCUCGCUGUCACACCGAGCGUAGUAGCAUACAUCUCGCUCUGGGCGUGCUGCGGGUUCCGGCCGUUAAACCACCUUCAUAACCCAAGGUUGACCUCGGAUCAGGUAGGAAGACCCGCUGAACUUAAGCAUAUCAAUAAGCGGAGGA
rnacentral:misc_RNA from 1 species